AGACCUGGCCCAGACCUCAGC
rnacentral:miRNA from 4 species